rnacentral:rRNA from 1 species
AUGGCGACGGGAUCCAUGGAGGCGGCCCUCACGAGCGAUCCGACGAUCAAGCUCCCCGACGACCUCCUGGUCGAGAUCAUCUCGCGCGUGCCCUACAAGUCCACCUGCUGCUGCAAGUGCGUCUCCACGCGCUGGCGGGACCUCAUCUCCCACCCCGACCACCGCGAGAAGCUUCCCGGGUCGACCCUCGCCGGUUUCUUCUACAAAACCUGCGGCAUAGGCCGCAAUCCACGGUUUCCUCAUGUUUACCAAAGCGUCUCGGGUAACUGGUGCCCUCUUGACGCCUCACUCUCGUUCCUACCUGAAUGCGAGGAGCUCGACAUCUUGGAUUGCUGUAGCGGCCUCCUCCUCUGCCGACGCUGGACCGCCCCCAAGGCGUGGGAUGACCCUGGGACAUUGGAGUACGUGGUGUGCAAUCCUGCUACUGAGAGAUGGGUAUCCGUGCCCGCCACCGAGUAUUCCUGGUUUUUGAACGAUGCUCGCCUGGGAUUCGACCCGGCCGUCUCCUCCCACUUCCAUGUGUUCGAGUUGGUAACUGCCGUGGCUUUGAAUCUGAAUAAUAAGUAUGAUUAUCGCAUUGAAGAGGUGGGGAUCUACUCUUCCAAAGCGGGAGGUUGGACACAUCAAAUUGUUUGGGACGAUCCAACUGAGAUACUCUGCUUAUCAGGUGGCGCAUUUUUCGACGGAGUGUUGUAUUUACGUUCUGAUAGUAACACAGUUGCAGCCAUCGACGUGCAGGGUAAUUAUAGGAUCAUUCCUGUUCCUACUUCACCUGAUGCUCGUGGUGUUCCUAAUGUUUAUGUAUCACGUGGACAAUUGUAUCUCACAGAUCAUGGUUCUUCUGAACUGUCAAUCUGGGUUCUUGAAGAUUCUAUUAGUGAAAAUUGUUGGACAUUGAAGCUCAAAGUCAGUUACUUGCAACUGUUUGGAGUAGAGUAUUCAAGCGCCAGGGAACAUUACGGUGUUAUCUCAGCCCACCCAGAAGACAAUGUGAUAUUCAUAAUUGUAGAAUCUGCAUCAGGGAUCUUUUGGCAGAUGAAAUUAUUUUCAUACGAAAUGGAUUCUAAAGAGCUGCGUUUUGUAUGUGAUCUUGGACGGAAUUCAAGGUGCCCUUAUCUUUCAUAUGUUCCUUUGUUCUCGGAGUCAUUGACGGAUGGGCACUGA